rnacentral:lncRNA from 10 species
UUGGACGCCCUUCCUCGGGGCAGCGGGGUGCAGGGAGAGUUCUUCUGGCUGUGAGUCCCGGAGUCCCCGACCCUGGCACCCCUUCAGCAAGGUUCUCAGGCACAUCUGCCGGGGGCGCUGAGGGGACCUGAGAUGGACGGGCCGGGAGGGAGGCUGAGGGCGAGGGGGUGCAUUGGUCUGCUUGGGCCGCUGUAACAAAAUGCCACAGCCUGGAUGAGUGACUGACAUUGCUUCCCCACCGUUCUGGAGGCUGGAGGCCCGAGAUCGAGGUCCCUGACACUAUUUCAGUGAUGCCAGAGCCCAGGAGGAGUCGACCAAGCCCCAGCGUGGCCAUAAGCACCUUCGCAGGACCACGGAGUCGCUGCAGGUGUUCAGCCCUGUUGAGAGUGGGAGUCGGUGUCGAUGGUCACAGCUCAGUAACUCAUCGUCACCAGCGAGUACCACAGAGCAGACACAACUGCACUUCUCUGUAGAGCCUCCAGUCGAUACUGAGAGCCACUGGGGCGUCUGACACCCAAGGGUGCAGACAUUCACUCCAAGUCCAGAGACCGCGCCCUUUCUAAGGCCCUGUCUCACAGUCGCCCCGUGCUCAUUGUGCCGGAUGUUUCCACAGCCACAGAGACGGUGCGUGAAGGUGAGGUGCAGCCUAGUGCAUAUGACUGACAGAAACGUGAAGCCACAGUGGACGCCUGGAUGAGACACAGAUCACCUUCCAAAUCUGAGUGUGGCCUUGGGACCAACCAGGCAGCCAGGGAGAAGGCAGAGACCAGAGGGAACCCAGGUGCCCUCAAUCCCAGCCUCCUCUAUCCCAGCCUCCCAAUCCCAGCCUCCCCAAUCCCAGCCUCCUAAUCCCAGCCUCCUCCAUCCCAGGACCCCCACUCCCAGCCUCCCGAUCCCAGCUUCUCUGAUCCCAGCCUCCCCUAAAACCCAGACUCUAUGAAUCCCAGCCUCUGAGGUGGGAACUGUUAGUAACCCCACUCCAUGGACAAGAAAGCUGGGGCCUGGCGAGGCUAACAGACUAUCCUGAUGGUGUGAGGGAGGGAUCGGCCUCUGAGGGCUGCUUCCACCCAUCUCACCAGUGGCUGCAGGCUCCAGGCGCCACUUUCCUUGAGUCUAUGUUCUUUCCAAGCAUCCUGCAGCUCCAGAAGCUCUGGAGCCGCCAGCACUGAGAGAAGCGAUGGAGCUGCAUGCAGGGAAACUUUGUUGACAGCGGUGUCUGGAUGGACCAGCAGAGGGCACUCUCACCCACGGGGAAAAUCGUGCGCCCGGCCUCGUCCACCGCCAGAAGACGCCGC